UACGUAGGGUGCGGCGUUGUCCGGAAUUACUGGGCGUAAAGAGCUCGUAGGUGGUUUGUCGCGUUGUCCGUGAAAACUCACAACUCAAUUGUGGGCGUGCGGGCGAUACGGGCAGGCUGGAGUACUGCAGGGGAGACUGGAAUUCCUGGUGUAGCGGUGGAAUGCGCAGAUAUCAGGAGGAACACCGGUGGCGAAGGCGGGUCUCUGGGCAGUAACUGACGCUGAGGAGCGAAAGUGUGGGGAGCGAACAGG
rnacentral:rRNA from 1 species